rnacentral:lncRNA from 1 species
CUAUUCUCCAAAAUCGAGUAACCUUAACUUAUACACAAAUCAUAACUUAUCUAACACAUAAUAUUAUUAUCAUACAACACUAUUACAAAUCUAAUUGCGCACAUUAACUUUAAGCUGGAACUGUCUUUAACCUUUCCUUGUAUCCAACACAUUUAUCUUUAUCUGCAAUGUUUAUCAUGAUAUAGCAAGGGUGAGCAUGAAAGUUGCCCAGCAAGUUUAAAUUUAUUUAAGGAUAUAUCAUGAUUGAAAAAGUGAAUAAUAAGCUGGCUAUAAUUCCACAAUAUAGUUGUGAAUUAGCACGAACAAACUUUUGACUGAACAAGUAUUAAACAUGAACAAAUAUAUCUGGACCAAACGGUAAUGAAGGUGAUCAGCAAUAUGUACAGAGUACAAUUGUACAUGGCAAUCAGGAAUGAAUAACCAUAAGCAUAUCCGAAUGAAACAACUUUUAGUAAAGUUAAGAAAAACUUGCCUGAACCGUUGAUUACUGUUACGCAUUCUAUAUCUCUUUAUCCGAAGACCUAAUAUUAGUAAU